GACGAACGCUGGCGGCGUGCCUAAUACAUGCAAGUAGAACGCUGAAGAGAGGAGCUUGCUCUUUUUGGAUGAGCUGCGAACGGGUGAGUAACGCGUAGGUAACCUGCCUUGUAGCGGGGGAUAACUAUUGGAAACGAUAGCUAAUACCGCAUAACAAUGGAUGACACAUGUCAUUUAUUUGAAAGGGGCAAUUGCUCCACUACAAGAUGGACCUGCGUUGUAUUAGCUAGUAGGUGAGGUAAUGGCUCACCUAGGCGACGAUACAUAGCCGACCUGAGAGGGUGAUCGGCCACACUGGGACUGAGACACGGCCCAGACUCCUACGGGAGGCAGCAGUAGGGAAUCUUCGGCAAUGGGGGCAACCCUGACCGAGCAACGCCGCGUGAGUGAAGAAGGUUUUCGGAUCGUAAAGCUCUGUUGUAAGUCAAGAACGGGUGUGAGAGUGGAAAGUUCACACUGUGACGGUAGCUUACCAGAAAGGGACGGCUAACUACGUG
rnacentral:rRNA from 1 species